GAUGAACGCUGGCGGCGUGCCUAAUACAUGCAAGUCGAGCGAACGGACGAGAAGCUUGCUUUUCUGAUGUUAGCGGCGGACGGGUGAGUAACACGUGGAUAACCUACCUAUAAGACUGGGAUAACUUCGGGAAACCGGAGCUAAUACCGGAUAAUAUUUUGAACCGCAUGGUUCAAAAGUGAAAGACGGUCUUGCUGUCACUUAUAGAUGGAUCCGCGCUGCAUUAGCUAGUUGGUAAGGUAACGGCUUACCAAGGCAACGAUGCAUAGCCGACCUGAGAGGGUGAUCGGCAACACUGGAACUGAGACACGGUCCAGAAUCCUACGGGAGGCAGCAGUAGGGAAUCUUCCGCAAUGGGCGAAAGCCUGACGGAGCAACGCCGCGUGAGUGAUGAAGGUCUUCGGAUCGUAAAACUCUGUUAUUAGGGAAGAACAUAUGUGUAAGUAACUGUGCACAUCUUGACGGUACCUAAUCAGAAAGCCACGGCUAACUACGUG
rnacentral:rRNA from 1 species